rnacentral:misc_RNA from 1 species
GGCAGAUGGCACUUGAAAUAAAAAAAGAUAUGCUAUCGGCUGGUGUCACUCCCAACAUUGUCACUUGGUCUUCAUUGAUCAGCGCCUGUGCCAAUGCAGGCGUGGUAGACCAAGCUAUUCAGUUAUUUGAAGAGAUGCUUCAGGCUGGUUGCGAACCUAAUUCACAAUGUUACAACAUUCUUCUUCAUGCGUGUGUUGAAGCCUGCCAAUAUGAUAGGGCCUUUCGGUUAUUCAGGUCCUGGAAGGAAA